rnacentral:rRNA from 1 species
CCCUUAGAUGUCCUGGGCCGCACGCGCGCUACACUGAGUGUCUGAGAUACGAGUCUGCCUGGUCCGGCAAGGUCUAGGUAAUCGCUAAAAGACACAUCAUGCUUGGGAUAGAUUAUUGCAAAUAUUAAUCUUGAACGAGGAAUUCCUAGUAAGCGCCAGUCAACAGCUUGCGUUGAUUACGUCCCUGCCCUUUGUACACACCGCCCGUCGCUACUACUGAUUGGAUGUUUAAGCGAGGUUCUCGAACUGCUAGCGACUUAGCUUCGGUGAGGUCGCAGUGUGGGAAGUGAACCUAGCUUUGGUGUCUAGAGGAAGUAAAAGUCGUAACA